GUUCUGUUCAACUAAGGGCAAAGUACAUGACACAGGAGCUAUAUUGCUUGUUAAUAUCAACAUUUCAGAGCGGUUACUGAAGGAGAUGAGGACAUCCUUUAGUUUAUAGUAUUUUGUAGCUGCUACAAAACAGGGGUUAAACUCAAGACUGCAUUGAACCCUCUUAAGGAUAAACUGAGGCUCUUUAAGGGAGUCAAACUCAACUGUGAUAAUACAGCAAAACAUAUUAAGAUCCAAGCCCAGGAUACAGAGAGGCAGAUUAAGGGGCAGUUUAAAAAGCUGUACCUGUUUUUGCAAGAGGAAGAUAGAUGGAUAGAUGCAGUGAGAAUGGAAGAGGUGAGGAAGAGUCGGGUGAUGAAACACAAGAUAACAGAGAUGAGCAGAGAGAUAUCAUCACUUUCAUACACAAUCAAAGCCACCUAACAACAGCUGAGCAUUGAAGACAUCUCAUUCUUGCAGAGCCAAGCAAACACUGCCAGAUCCAAAGAGGGUUUCAGGAGCGCUGAUAGACUGGCCAAACACCUGGGCAACCUGCAGUCAAGAGUCAGGGAGAAGAUGAAAGGGAUGGUCCAAUACUGUAAAUACGUUUCCAUCCACAAUUUGUUCGUUCGACAUGAUGGGAUCUUUUUGUGUCUGUAAAAUGUAUCAUGCGACACAUUGCGUUGCAAACGAUUUCUUGCGCAAUUGUUGGUAGAAUAACCAUCAUGUCGAGGUAAAUGUGCAGUCACGCGAUGCAAUGUUGUGUGGUCCUUCCAGUGCGACUUGGAAAAGCAUGCACAGUUUAAACUACGUGAUGGUGAAAGUACACAGUGAUGAGCUUGAUGCUGCUUUCCAAUAAAAAUUGAGGGUAUUAUUUGUAUGCUAGUGACAUAAUGAUCUUGCUUUUAUCCAUCUCAUCUUAUAGCCUAUAACUUGUCCAGUGUACACUUUAUCAGCGAACUGUUGUCUAGAGAGCAUGUGCGAAAACCAGAUUGGGCAAGUUUGCCAUUUAUCGCGACAGUUUGUGGCAAAACUAUUGGUAGAGUCGAAAAUACAAUGGUAACACAUUAAACUCGUGUUUUUUAUUCAGUAUAUGAUGUAAGCACAAAAGUGUUUUUAUGUGCAGGUCAUAACGCACAGUCUUUGAACCGCAACAAAGUCCGGGGGCGUUUCUCUGCCCAGGUGUUUUUGAUGGAUGCCAAAUCUUACAACAGCUGGAUAGGUAUUGUAAGUAUUAGCUAACCAUAUCAUAUGUUAUACCAAUUUGUCAGCCGAUAAAAUUGUCCAUGACGUGGUACGCAACCAUAGGUUUAUGCAUGAAACGUCUGAACGGGGGACGCGACCUCGGUCUGGUGCAGAGUAUGUGAGCGGAGCGGAGCUUGGAGCAAGGAGUGAUUUUUUAAUAAUAAUAUUCGCAUGAAAAUCUGUCGCAAAUUGGAUGGAAACCUAGCUACUGAGUAAUGUUUUGCAGCAAAAAACAACAGUAGGUUUCAUCUGCGCCCUGUUCUUAGUCCUAGGCCUGUAUCAGUAUAAUUCAUAUUAAUUCUAGUAGUGACCCCCAUACUGUUAAAUUGCAUAAUUUCUCUAUUGCAAAACAAUGCUCGUAGGAAUUUAGAUAUGAGUAUCAAUGAAACUUGUAGUGAAUUUACAGAGUAAAUGGUAAAGUUAAAUGAUCUCUCCUUAGCUCCUGUAAUCCUGGAUCCCAACACUGCAGACACAGGUCUCAUCCUGUACGAGGACUUGACCAGCAUAAAACACUGUGAUAAAGCACUACAGCUCCCUGACAACCCAGAGAGGCUUCAUGGAUGUGUCCUAGGUUCUGAGGGUUAUAACUCAGGAACACACAGCUGGGACGUAGAAAAUUCUGAUGGUUCCUAUUGGGCUGUAGGUGUGGCCACCAAUAAUCCCAAAAGAUCUAGUUGGUCUAGAUCAAGCAGUAUGCCAUAUAAAUCCUAGGGUAUUUGGACUACCUGUGUUAGUCACUUCCUAGAAUUUUCCCAAAAGGAUGAUGUACAUCAUCUUGAAGUGAAUCACUUUCCCCGAAUGAUGAGAGUGCAUCUGGAUUGGGACAAGGAAAAGCUGUCUUUCUUUGACCUUGAUGAAAAUACACACAUACACACAAUCACACACACUUUCACACAGACAAUCUUCCCUAUACUUCGUCAUGAUAACACUUUGAGGAUCUUUCCAGUGAAGACCACCAUGACAGUGGGAAAAACAGUGGCGACCCGUCCUUCACAGUGUUUUGAGCCCCACCUGUUAUUUUGGCAUUAAUACGUGUAAAUAUAUCAGUUUGCAAACAAUGUUAAAAAAAAUGUAUUGAGUUAAUGGAGCCGCAUACAAACAGGGUCUCUUUUUUGCUUUCUUGAGUAAGGCAGCUCCAAAAUUAAGGUGUUUCAGCCUAGCUCUGUGCUUUCUGUGGUGGAGGAGCAGCCAGCAGAAAAUACAGAGCAUAGUGGUUGGUAAUCUUGUCUAGUUGUGCCGUGAUUGGCUCAGUAUUCUGUCACUAAUUGGGAUACUACGUCACCACAAAAUCUACUGGGAGAGCUAGAAAGUUCAAGCCCCCUUAAGUGCUGCCAUAGAUUUACAUUAGAAGUGCCCAUCCAAGAAGGCUCAAGGUCACU